rnacentral:rRNA from 1 species
ACAUGACUCUCGGCAAUGGAUAUCUCGGCUCUCGCAUCGAUGAAGAGCGCAGCGAAAUGCGAUAUGUGGUGCGAAUUGCAGAAUCCCGCGAACCAUCGAGUCUUUGAACGCAAGUUGCGCCCGAGGCCAACCGGCCAAGGGCACGUCCGCCUGGGCGUCAGUC